rnacentral:rRNA from 1 species
AUGAGAUGCCUAAGUUGGAAUUGCCGGGGGCUUGGGAACCCCGAGGCAGUUCGGGAGCUUUGCAAAAUUGUGAAGCAGGAAGGGCCCGCCCCGCUCUUUGUGUCGGAAAUGAAGAUUAGGGCAAAGAGGGUAGAUAUUUUGCAACACAGCUUGGGCUUUGCUGGCUGUUUUGCGGUGGAUAGUUCUGGACUCAGUGGUGGAAUUCGCCUUUUU